rnacentral:sRNA from 1 species
AGUACUAAUAGCUAUAAUUAUAAAAACCUCUUCUUCACUUGCAAUACAGAAUUCCAGCUCAGAAUCAAUCAACAAUUAAAAGAACUCAUUACAAAGUUCAAUUCAAACAAGCUUUUUAAAUCAAUAAAUGAAAAAUAUAAAUAAUAAGUGAUACAAAAAAAUCAAAGCAAAGAAGGUAUUGUGAAUGAAUAAAUAAAAAUAAACAUGAGAAAAUAAAAACAAAAUCAAAAAUAAAAAUAAAAAUAAUAAUAAUAAACUUUUGUAAUAGAAUUAAUGGAAGCUUCUAUAUUAGAAAAUAGCU